rfam:Ixodes scapularis strain Wikel colony gcontig_1108378452826, whole genome shotgun sequence.
GCAAUCGUGGCCGAGUGUUUCAAGCGAUGGACUAGAAAUCCAUUGGGGUCUCCCCGCACAGUUUCGAAUCCUGUUGACUACG